rnacentral:rRNA from 1 species
GUCCACGCCGUAAACGAUGAGUGCUAGGUGUCGCGGGUAUUGACCCCUGCGGCGCCGCAGCUAACGCAUUAAGCACUCCGCCUGGGGAGUACGGCCGCAAGGCUAAAACUCAAAGGAAUUGACGGGGGCCCGCACAAGCGGUGGAGCAUGUGGUUCAAUUCGACGCAACGCGAAGAACCUUACCUGGGUUAAAUCCACCGGAACCCCGCAGAGAUGUGGGGGUGCUCGCAAGAGAAUCGGUGAGAAGGUGCUGCAUGGCUGUCGU